rnacentral:rRNA from 1 species
AUUGAACGCUGGCGGCAGGCUUAACACAUGCAAGUCGAGCGAGCGGCGGACGGGUGCGUAAUGUCUGGGCAACUGCCUGAUGGAGGGGGAUAACUACUGGAAACGGUAGCUAAUACCGCAUACCAUCAGAUGUGCCCAGAUGGGAUUAGCUAGUAGGUGGGGUAAUGGCUCACCUAGGAGGAGAGCCCUAGCUGGUCUGAGAGGAUGAACGUCCACACUGGAGCUGAGACACGGUCCAGACUCCUACGGGAGUCAGCAGUGGGGGAUAUUGCACAAUGGGCGCAAGCCUGAUGCAGCCAUGCCGCGUGUGUGAAGAAGGCCUUCGGGUUGUAAAGCACUUUCAGCGAGGAGGCGUUACUCGCAGAAGAAGCACCGGCUAACUCCGUGCCAGCCGCCGCGGUAAUUC